AGAGGGAUAGCUGGGUCAAAUGGAGGUUCCAUUCCCAGUUUCCCAAGAAAUCUCCAUACUGCUUUCCAUAUUGGCUGUACCAAUUUGCAGUCCCACUAGCAAU
rnacentral:pre_miRNA from 1 species